GCAGAGCACUCCGUACGGGAGGCAGCAGUGGGGAAUAUUGCACAAUGGGCGCAAGCCUGAUGCAGCCAUGCCGCGUGUAUGAAGAAGGUCCUUCGGGUUGUAAAGUACUUUUCAGCAGUGAGGAAGGUGGGUAUGUUAAUAGCAUACUCAUUUGACGUUAGCUGCAGAAGAAGCACCGGCUAACUCCGUGCCAGCAGCCGCGGUAAUACGGAGGGUGCGAGCGUUAAUCGGAAUUACUGGGCGUAAAGCGCAUGCAGGUGGUUUGUUAAGUCAGAUGUGAAAGCCCGGGGCUCAACCUCGGAAUUGCAUUUGAAACUGGCAAACUAGAGUACUGUAGAGGGGGUAGAAUUUCAGGUGUAGCGGUGAAAUGCGUAGAGAUCUGAAGGAAUACCGGUGGCGAAGGCGGCCCCCUGGACAGAUACUGACACUCAGAUGCGAAAGCGUGGGGAGCAAACAGGAUUAGAUACCCUGGUAG
rnacentral:rRNA from 1 species